rnacentral:rRNA from 1 species
UCCUAGCCCUAAACCAUGCUCACUAGGUGUUUGAGGUAUCGACCCCUUGAGUGCCGCAGCUAACGCGUUAAGUGAGCCGCCUGGGGAGUACGGCCGCAAGGUUGAAACUCAAAAGAAUUGACGGGGGCCCGCACAAGCGGUGGAGCAUGUGGUUUAAUUCGAUGCUACGCGAAAGACCUUACCUGGGUUUGACAUGCUGGUAGUAAGAUCCUGAAAGGGUGAUGAGCCGUAGAAAUACGGAAGCCAGCACAGGUGCUGCAUGGCUGUCGUCAGCUCGUGUCGUGAGAUGUUGGGUUAAGU